rnacentral:rRNA from 1 species
AACGAACGCUGGCGGCAGGCUUAACACAUGCAAGUCGAACGCCCCGCAAGGGGAGUGGCAGACGGGUGAGUAACGCGCGGGAAUCUACCUAGUUCUACGGAACAACUGAGGGAAACUUCAGCUAAUACCGUAUACGCCCUCAGGGGGGAAGAUUUAUCGGAAUUGGAUGAGCCCGCGUUGGCUUAGCUACCCGGUGGGGUAAUGGCCUACCAAGGGGACGAUCUAUAGCUGGGCUGAGAGGAUGAUCAGCCACACGGGGACUGAGAGACGGCCCAGACUCCUACGGGAGGCAGCAGUGGGAAAGAUUGGACAAUGGGGGCAAGCCUGAUCCAGCCAUGCCGCUUGAGUGAUGAAGGCCUUAGGGUUGUAAAGCUCUUUCAGUGGGGACGAUAAUGACGGUACCCACAGAAGAAGCCCCGGCUAACUUCGUGCCAGCCGCCGCCGUAAAAC